rnacentral:rRNA from 1 species
UACAGGGGGGGCAAGCGUUGUUCGGAAUCACUGGGCGUAAAGCGCACGUAGGCGGGUCGUUAAGUCGGGGGUGAAAUCCUGGAGCUCAACUCCAGAACUGCCUUCGAUACUGGCGACCUUGAGUCCGGGAGAGGUGAGUGGAACUCCGAGUGUAGAGGUGAAAUUCGUAGAUAUUCGGAAGAACACCAGUGGCGAAGGCGGCUCACUGGCCCGGUACUGACGCUGAGGUGCGAAAGCGUGGGGAGCAAACAGG